rnacentral:rRNA from 1 species
ACUCUCGGCAACGGAUAUCUUGGCUCUCGCAUCGAUGAAGAACGUAGCAAAAUGCGAUAGCUGGUGUGAAUUGCAGAAUCCCGUGAACCAUCGAGUCUUUGAACGCAAGUUGCGCCUGAAGCCGUCAGGCCAAGGGCACGCCUGCCUGGGUGUCC